AAGUCGUAACAAGGUUUCCGUAGGUGAACCUGCGGAAGGAUCAUUAACAAAAAUUGAAUCUCUUUUCUAAAAUGAUCCAUAUAGAGUGUGUGUGGUUUGCUUUUUUCGUAACAGAAGAAGAGUAUUCCCACCCACUUUUAUGGUAUCAAACCCCAUUUUGAUGAACUUUUAGACGGUUUUAAGUGAAGUUACUACAUUUGAAGUACUUCACUUAGAUCAUCUAUAUAUUUUUAUACCUUAAAAAUUUAUUUUUUAAAACCCCUUUUUUUACAACAUGUCUUUGACUGAAAUGAAAAAUUUUUAUCUUAUAAAAAAAUGAUAAAAACAACUCUUAGCAACGGAUAUCUUGGCUCUC
rnacentral:misc_RNA from 1 species